rnacentral:rRNA from 1 species
GUAAUGUCUGGGAAACUGCCUGAUGGAGGGGGAUAACUACUGGAAACGGUGGCUAAUACCGCAUAACGUCGCAAGACCAAAGAGGGGGACCUUCGGGCCUCUUGCCAUCAGAUGUGCCCAGAUGGGAUUAGCUAGUUGGUGAGGUAACGGCUCACCAAGGCGACGAUCCCUAGCUGGUCUGAGAGGAUGACCAGCCACACUGGAACUGAGACACGGUCCAGACUCCUACGGGAGGCAGCAGUGGGGAAUAUUGCACAAUGGGCGCAAGCCUGAUGCAGCCAUGCCGCGUGUAUGAAGAAGGCCUUCGGGU